AUUGAACGCUGGCGGAAUGCUUUACACAUGCAAGUCGAACGGCAGCACGGACUUCGGUCUGGUGGCGAGUGGCGAACGGGUGAGUAAUGUAUCGGAACGUGCCCAGUCGUGGGGGAUAACGUAGUGAAAAUUACGCUAAUACCGCAUACGAUCUAUGGAUGAAAGCGGGGGAUCGCAAGACCUCGCGCGAUUGGAGCGGCCGAUAUCAGAUUAGGUGGUUGGUGGGGUAAAGGCCCACCAGGCCAAGGAUCUGUAGCUGGUCUGAGAGGACGAGCAGCAACACUGGAACUGGGACACGGUCCAGACUCCUACGGGAGGCAGCAGUGGGGAAUUUUGGACAAUGGGCGAAAGCCUGAUCCAGCCAUUCCGCGUGCAGGAUGAAGGCCCUCGGGUUGUAAACUGCUUUUGUACAGAACGAAAAGGUUUCUACUAAUACUAGGAGCUCAUGACGGUACUGUAAGAAUAAGCACCGGCUAACUACGUGCCAGCCGCCGCCGUAA
rnacentral:rRNA from 1 species